GGCCCCAUCGUCUAGCGGCCCAGGACAAUAGGUUUUCAGCCUAUCAACACGAGUUCGAAUCUCGUUGGGGUCA
rfam:Candidatus Roizmanbacteria bacterium RIFCSPHIGHO2_12_FTLL_39_8 rifcsphigho2_12_scaffold_32191, whole genome shotgun sequence.